rnacentral:lncRNA from 1 species
CAAACUUGAUCUAGCGUAUUUGAAGUUUCUAGAAAAUAAUUUUUGGAAUUUUUCGAUAUCAUUUACCUAGCAAUUGAAAGGAUUCAAAAUCAAUAAUUUUUAACGGCUGAAAAUAAAAAUCCUAUAAAAAGUGGUGAUAUAGCACUAAAAUUUUCAAUCAGAAAUAUUGAUCUUGUUGUAGAUAGUAUAAAGAAUUUUGUAUCAAAAUUUCAUCUGAUUUGAAUACUUCUACACCGUUAAACUUGAAAACGACAGAUAUCAACCAUUAAAAAUUAUGAAUUUUGAAUCGUUUCGAUCAUUAGGAAAAUGAUAUCAAAAAAUCGCAAAAAUUGUUUUCUAGAAACUUCAAAUGCACUAGAGUUUCCGAAUCACUAGGUAAAUGAUAUAUAUAUAUAGUUCGGCUACUCUUAUGAGUACGAUUACGAUUGCCUUCGUACUCAUAAGUCUUUUUCGAUGAUAGAGUUUCCGAAUCGAUGAUCCAUAUUAUUAAACGUUAUCUAGAGCAUUUAAAACCUUUAUAAAUCAAAUUUAAUAAUUUUUUGACAUCAUUUACCUUAUGAUCAAAAGAUCUCAAAAUUGAUAAUUUUUAAUGACCGGUAUGAAAUAAUUGUUAGUUUAACGGCGUAAAAGAAUCGGAAUCGUUUGAAUUUUUGAUAAAAAAUUCUAUUCACUAUCUAGAUAAAAAUCAAUGACUCUAAUCUUAAAUUAAAGGAUCCGAUCAUCCAUUUUUAGGACGUCAUUCGAUUUUGACCAUUCAUUUUAUACCCACUUGAUGGACUUUAUUAUGAUUUCGAAAAAUUACGAAAUUUAUUUUUUAGAAGUUUCAAAUACUCUAGAUCAUAUUUAAUGGAGCGGAUCGUCGAUUCAAAAUCUCCA